rnacentral:rRNA from 1 species
UACGUAGGGGGCUAGCGUUGUCCGGAAUCAUUGGGCGUAAAGAGCGCGUAGGCGGCCAGAUAAGUCCGGUGUGAAAGUCACAGGCUCAACCUGUGAAUGCCGCUGGAAACUGUCUGGCUAGAGUCCGGAAGGGGCGAGUGGAAUUCCUGGUGUAGCGGUGGAAUGCGCAGAUAUCAGGAGGAACACCGAUGGCGAAGGCAGCUCGCUGGGACGGUACUGACGCUGAGGCGCGAAAGCGUGGGGAGCGAACAGG